rnacentral:rRNA from 1 species
UAUGCUUGUCUCAAAGAUUAAGCCAUGCAUGUCUAAGUACAAGCUUUUACCCAGUGAAACCGCGAAUGGCUCAUUAAAUCAGUUAUGGUUCCUUAGAUCGUACAUUACUACUUGGAUAACUGUGGUAAUUCUAGAGCUAAUACAUGCAAGAUAGCUCCGACCUUCGGGGAAGAGCGCUUUUAUUAGAUCAAAACCAAUCGCCCGCAAGGGUGUCAAUUUGGUGACUCUGGAUAACUUUGUGCUGAUCGCAUGGCCAUGUGCCGGCGACGUAUCUUUUAAAUGUCUGCCCUAUCAACUUUCGUUUGUAGGUGCUAUGCCUACAAAGGUUUUUACGGGUAACGGGGAAUCAGGGUUCGAUUCCGGAGAGGGAGCAUGCGAAACGGCUACCACAUCCAAGGAAGGCAGCAGGCGCGCAAAUUACCCACUCCUGGCACGGGGAGGUAGUGACGAAAAAUAACAAUACGGGACUCUAUCGAGGCCCCG